rnacentral:rRNA from 1 species
UACGGGGGGAGCAAGCGUUGUUCGGAUUUACUGGGCGUAAAGGGCGCGUAGGCGGCCACCGCAAGUCGGUUGUGAAAUCUCUGGGCUUAACCCAGAAAGGUCGAACCGAUACUGCGGGGCUAGAGUGCAGAAGGGGCAACUGGAAUUCUCGGUGUAGCGGUGAAAUGCGUAGAUAUCGAGAGGAACACCUGCGGCGAAGGCGGGUUGCUGGGCUGACACGUGACGCUGAAGCGCGAAAGCUAGGGGAGCAAACAGG